rnacentral:rRNA from 1 species
GCGGAGGGAUCAUUACCGAGUUAUACAACUCAUCAACCCUGUGAACAUACCUAAAACGUUGCUUCGGCGGGAACAGACGGCCCCGUAAAACGGGCCGCCCCCGCCAGAGGACCCCCUAACUCUGUUUCUAUUAUGUUUUUUCUGAGUAAAACAAGCAAAUAAAUUAAAACUUUCAACAACGGAUCUCUUGGCUCUGGCAUCGAUGAAGAACGCAGCGAAAUGCGAUAAGUAAUGUGAAUUGCAGAAUUCAGUGAAUCAUCGAAUCUUUGAACGCACAUUGCGCCCGCCAGUAUUCUGGCGGGCAUGCCUGUUCGAGCGUCAUUACAACCCUCAGGCCCCCGGGCCUGGCGUUGGGGAUCGGCGAGGCGCCCCCUGCGGGCACACGCCGUCCCCCAAAUACAGUGGCGGUCCCGCCGCAGCUUCCAUUGCGUAGUAGCUAACACCUCGCAACUGGAGAGCGGCGCGGCCACGCCGUAAAACCCCCAACUUCUGAAUGUUGACCUCGGAUCAGGUAGGAAUACCCGCUG